GGGUCCCGGCGGAAAACUUGCCCGAACAUUCACCCUCUGCCCAUUCUGCUUCAACAAUCCACCAUUCGAAAAAAUGCCACAAGGAGCCGGUUGUGAUACUUGUGUUCAUCCGUCUUGUCAGUAUUCCAUUAGGUAAGGCGGCUUUUGUGUGGCCUAGAAGGCGCGAAAACUCGGCCAGCGAUUUUUAAACUUUUUUUCUACAAAAAUUGACUAAAAAUGGCCUCAGACGCGAACGAAUUUCUUUCAUGAUGAAAAUUUUGGAAAAAAAUUUUUUUUUAGGAGCCACAUUGAGUUUAAACAAUUAAAUUUCAGAUUUUUCCAAAUUUUGGCUCUUUUUUCAAAAAAAAAUUGUCCAUUUUUCUAGAAAUCCACAAUGAAAUUUGGAUGUUUUAGGCAAUUUUCAGUUAAAAAAACAGCCCUAACAAUUUAUUUCGAGAAAAAAUUGAAAAAAUCAAAUUUCGAUUUUCCGAGAGGAGUACAAUUUAUUUCGAAAAAAAUUUAAAAAAAUCAAAUUUCGAUCGUCCGAGAGGAGUACAAUUUAUUUCGAAAAAAAAUUAAAAAAAAAUCAAAUUUCGAUCGUCCGAGAGGAGUACAAUUUUCCUUGUUUUUUUUUCUGCAGAAAUCGACUCAAAAAUGGUCCCAAUCUACCAAAUUCCAUAAAUUAUAUUCUCAAAAAAAAAACUGUCAUCGAGAGAAAGUGUUGAAAAUGGAAGAGAAAUCGCUGGCCGAGUUUUCGCGGCGCGGCCUUGACACGGAUUUCGGGCUUUCCUCAUAAAUUGAAAUGGAAGAGUUCAGGCCGAACUAGGCCACCAUAGGCUCGGCCAUAUCUGGGGUAGAAUUACGGCGCGUUGCGUGUCGCGUCGCGGCUCGGUUUUAGUUGUAAAACUAAAUGUACUUGUCCGUGUGGAGUACACGACACUUUCCCACGCGUUGUCCGGCAGGCGAUUGUCAAUGGAGCGCGAAAUAUUCAAUGAGGGAGACCAGCAGAACCACGUGUGCCUUGAAAUUCGAAAAAUCUAAAAUUUCAGCUCAAACGGAGUGUGCGGUUGUCUUCAAGACUGCGGGGGUGUAAUGCUUCUCGACACUCAAUCUCAUCCGAAAUGGAGAAUGACAUGUAAUAAAUGUCCGUCGGUUGUUGGAUUAUUUGAAGGAGCGAUUAAAGUGAAAGUGGACAGUACGAGAAGCUGUGAGCAGUGUGAUGCUCAAUUUAUUAAAGCAGAGUUUAAGGUAGAAAUUGGCGGUUUUUUCGGCGAAAAUUGAAAAAAAAAGUAAUUUUCUAAAAUAUCAUCAUUCAAAAUGUUAAGAAAAAAAUGAACAAAAGAAUGAAAACAAUAUGAAAAGAAAUGAAAAAAAUAUUUAAAAAAAAUGAAAAAAGAAUGAAAAAAGGAAAAAAACAAAAAAAAAAGGAAGAAAAAAUGAAAAAAAAAAUGAAAAAAAUAUGAAAAAAAUAUUUAAAAAAAUGAAAAAAGGAAGAAAAAAUGAAACAAAAAUUAACAAUAUUUUUUAGUAUUUUUUUCCUACAUUUUGGAUGUUUUUAGAAUAAUUAUCGGAGAAAUUGGCGGUUUUCGAAAAUGGAAAAAAAAAGUAAUUUUCUAAAAUAUCAUCAUUCUAAAUGUUAAGAAAAAAAAAUGAACACAAAAAGAAAAAAAACGAAAAAAGAAUGAAAAAAAAAUGAAAAAAGAAUGAAAAAAAGGAAAAAACAACAAAAAAAAGGAAGAAAAAAUGAAACAAAAAUUAACAAUAUUUUUUAGUAUUUUUUUCCUACUUUUUGGAUGUUUUUAGAAUAAUUAAUGGAGAAAUUGGCGGUUUUCGAAAAUCUGAAGCGAAAAAUGGUAAAAAAAAUUUCGAAAAGAGAAAAUUCAGAAAAAAAAAACUGUUCUGUGUGCACUUUUUAUUGAGUUUUUGGAAAAAAAAUCGAUUUUCCGUGGAAAAAAAGAAUAACGUAAUUUUUAGACACCACCGCUUCAGAGGUAUUUUUCAAAAAACUUCAAAGGAUUUUCAAGAAAAACCCUAAAAUGUUGCAGUUUUUAUUGAUUUUUAAUCAAAAAUUAAAAAAUUAUGAAAAAGAUUUUUUUAAUAUUGGAUAAAUCCAUGUUCAGAAGGAUUUUCAAAAUAAUUUCCAAAUAAAAUUUAAAAAUCUCCAAAUUUUCAAAAAAAAAUUUUUUUUUUUUUUUUAAUGCGAUUUUUUUUCAAAAAUUUCAAAAAAAAUCUCCAAAUUCCCAUUCUUAUGUCGAAUUUUUAGAGAAAAAAUUUUUUGGAUGUUUUUUGGAAUAAGUAUCGGAGAAAGUGGCGGUUUUUUUGGCAAAAAAUUGGAAAAAAAAUAAAUUUUCUGAAAAAUAUUUUUUUUUCUUCAAAAAGAAUUGAAAAAAAGAGGGAAAAGAAACAAAAUGUAAAAAAUGAAAAAAAAAUCAUUAUUUUUUUUUCCAAUUUUUGGCAAAAAAAUUGAAAAAAAUUAAUUUUCUGAAAUAUCAUCUAAAAUGAAAAAAAAACUAACAAUUUUCUGAAAAUUUCAAAAAAAAAUCAAAAAUAAAUUCAGAAAAAAUCGGUUUUUUUUUUCCACAAAAAAUCGAUUUUCCGGUUUUCUGGCACGUUUUAGAGGUAUUUUUCAAUAAAAAAAGUUUUGAAUGAUUUUUAAUUAAAAAAUCGCCAAAAUGAUUUUUUUUAAAUUGGAUAAAUUCAUUUUCAGGAGCAUUUUCACAUUUUCUUUUUAAAACAAUUUCCAACAAAAAUCUGAAAAUCUUCACAUUUUCGAAAAAAAAAGUUUUAUUUUUGGAAAAGUGCUGAAUUUUUACAAAAUCUCCAAAAAAAAUUUUUUCCAAAUUCCCAUUCUUUAAAGUCGAAGUUUUAAGUAAAAAAUCCUAAACACAUCUAAAAAUUUUUCAAAAAAAAAAAAUUUCCAGCCAAAUUCCGGAAAACCUGGAGCAAUCGAGUACGAGUCGAGCAGCUACGAGGGAUGCAUCUUUUGUGAUGCGAUGAAAAAGUACCCGGACGCGAUUAACCUGAAUCAUGCCUACCUGACAGAAGAAUCCCGUCAACGGAACACACAGGCACCCAGGCGAGGCGGCGGCGGCGGCCGUGGCCGUGGCGGUCGUGGAAGAGGAGGCCGCGGCCGUGGAAGAGGACGGGGACGCUAGUGCCGAAUUUCCCGGAAAAUUAAUAUAUUUUUUGUUUUUUUUUAAAUUGUUAUUAGCACUGUUUUUUAUUAAUUCAAUUUUAAGUAUGUUUUUUUUUUAAAUUUAAAUUUAAAUUUAAAAAAAAACGAGCAAAUGUGUAUGUAUAAUUACGGUACUUUUUCUUUAUUAUAUACAUAAAUUAUAUACAUGUUUUUUAUUAAAUUUUUUCAAUUAAAUUUUUGUUUCCUGUAAAAGUGUUACUCAGAAACACUUUCAAUAUCUAUUUUUCUACUUUUUUUUGUUGUAUUUUUCCACAAUUUUGCCCUUCUAACCCAAUUUUUUCAAAAAACGCGCAUAAAAUAUGGUGUAUUGUUACUUCAGAUAAAAUGCAUCAUAUUUUACGCGCAAAUAUUCAGAGUUUAAAUUUUAAGGAUUUGAAAAAAAAUUUGUUUCAAAAAAUUCAAAAGUCUGGGUUUUUUUUUAAAUUCCGCGCAAAUGUUGCGUUUUCUGUUCGAAAAAUAAUUCGAAAAAAUCAAAUUUCGAUUUUCCGAGAGGAGUACAAUUUAUUUCAAAAAAUUGAAAAAAUCAAAUUUCGAUUUUCCGAGAGGAGUACAAUUUAUUUCGAAAAAAAUUGAAAAAUCAAUUUUCCGAGAGGAGUACAAUUUAUUUCGAAAAAAUUGAAAAAAAUCAAAUUUCGAUUGUCCGAGAGGAGUACAAUUUAUUUCAAAAAAAUUGAAAAAAUCAAAUUUCGAUUUUCCGAGAGGAGUACAAUUUUUUCGAAAAAAAUUCGCCGAGAAAUUGACCAUUUUGUGGGCGUGGCCUGCGAUGGCUUCACCCAUUUUUUCACGAGUUCUCGAAUUCCGAAAAAAAUGAGACGCUUCCCGCAAAGGCACAGAAAAAUGGGCGGAGCGGCGUAGGAGGUCACGCCCACAAAAGGGGCGGAGCUUUAACAUUUCACCGAGAAAGUGUCCAUUUUGUGGGCGUGGUUUGAGCUUGAAAAAAAUGCUAAACUCCUUAAAUUCGACCUAAAAACUGAGGGAUUACUUUAAAAAUUGAUUUUUUUUUUCCGCGGAAAUUCAAAAAUAAUUUUUUAAAAAUUGGUUUUUUGUGGAAAAAAAUGAGGAAAACGAGAUUUUUCACAAUUUUUACGAAUUUUUCAACAAAAAAAAAUCCACCAAUUUUCCAGAUGCCACCAAAAAAGACGCCAAAAGGAGGCGCUAGCGGCUCCGGCAAAGACGACGGCGGUGGCCAGAAAAAAGAGGCAAAAGGUGGUGGUACGGCAGUAAAAGUUCGUCACAUUCUCUGUGAGAAACAGGGAAAAGCGUUGGAGGCUAUCGAAAAGCUCAAAUCGGGAAUGAAGUUCAACGAGGUGGCCGCUCAAUACAGUGAGGAUAAGGCGAGAAGUGGUGGAGAUCUUGGAUGGAUGACACGUGGCAGUAUGGUUGGACCAUUUCAGGUAAAAAUGUGAAAAAAAAAGAGAAAAAGAGAAAAACAAAAAGAGAAAAAAAGGAAAAAAACAAAAGAAUAAGGAUAAAAAUGAAAAAAAAAACAUUUCAAAAAUGAAAAAAAGAGAAAAUACAAUGAAAAAAAAACGAAAAAAAACAUUUGAAAAAUGAAAAAAAAAAUUUUCCAAAUUUUUGGAUGUUUUAAGAAUACUUUUCGGAAAUUUUCUUUUUUUUUCUCAAUUAAACAAAAAAAGAAAGACGUGUCGAAAAAAAAAACGAAAAAAACAAAAGAAUAAGGAUAAAAAUGAAAAAAAAACGGAAAAAAACAUUUAAAAAAUGAAAAAAAGAGAAAAUUAAAUUUUAAAAAAAGGAAAAAACAUUUCAAAAAUUGCAAUAAAUGAAAAAAAAAACAAAAAAAUAAGGAAAAAAACGAAAAAGAGAUAGAAAGAGAAAAAAAAAUGAAAAAAAAAACGGAAAAAAACAUUUGAAAAAUGAAAAAAAAAAUUUCCAAAUUUUUGGAUGUUUUAGGAAUACUUUUCGGAAAUUUUCUUUUUUUUCUCAAUAUAAACAAAAAAAGAAAGACGUGUCGAAAAAAAAACGAAAAAAAAGAGAAAAUGAAAAAAAAAGAAAAAUAUGAACUUCUCUUUUUUGAUUUGUUUUUCCUUUUUUAAAUGUUUUUUUUCUCAUUUUUUCUCAAUUUUUUUAAAAAAAUUUUAUUCAGACAAAAAAAACGUGUCGAUUUACGCAGCUUGUGUGUACUCCUCGAGGAGAAACGUGAUUUCUUCCAGUUUUGACUGAAAUUUCUGAUUAUUUGGAGUAUUUAUCAUUAAAAUUGUCGAUGAUUUAUUUGAUUUUUAUAGUGUUUUAAAAAUUGAAAAUCUUAAAUUUUCUCGUUUUCGGCAUAAAUUAGAAAAAAAAAUGGACAAUUUGAAUGAGAAAUACAAAAAAAAGUGUAAAUCUUGAAAUCACUUGUCCUCGUGGACUACACGAGCUGCGUAAAUCGACAAAAAUUAAGUUUUUCUUUUGAAAAAAAUCGAUAAUCCGAAAAUUAUCUCAAAACUUCCAAAAAAUUGAAAAAAAAAAUAUUUUUAAUAAAAAUACACCAAUUUUUCACAUUUUUUCACCGGAAAAAUGCUUAAAAUUGCAGAUUUCUAGGCAAUUUUUAGAAUUUUUUCCACAAAAAUUUCCAAAAAAAAAUUUUCAGGACGCCGCAUUUGCCCUGUCGAACAGCUCAUGCGACAAGCCAAUCUACACGGACCCCCCAGUCAAGACAAAGUUCGGUUAUCAUGUGAUUAUGGUCGAGGGAAAGAAAUAAUCAUUCCAAAAAAAAAAAUGUUGAUUUCGCUUUUUUUUGUCUUUUUUGUUGCAAAAUUUUUUUUUUUUUUUUUUGAUAAAUAUUUUCUCAUUUUUUCCCAAUUUUUCCUCAUUUUUUGCCCAUUUAUGCGUUAAUUUUCAACGCUUUUUAUAUCUUUUUCCAGUUUAAUUUUACUUUUAUUUUAAAUUAAAAAAGUUCUAGAAAAAGGGCGGAGCAAAACCUAAGCCACGCCCAUAAAAUGGUCAUUUUUAACGGAAAUUUUUUUCCUAAAUGUUUAAAGCUAAAAAAAUUAAUUUUAAUAUUUUUUGGGAAAUAUUCAUUGUUUUUUCUCUUAAAAUUACAUGAAAAUUCAGUUAAAAUUUGAAAGAAAAAUAUUUUCGAAAUGCCAAGAAAGGGGCGGAGCCAACCAGACCACGCCCACACAAAGGGGGCGUGGUCAAAAAUGCAUUUGAAUACUUUUUAAGUGUUUUUUUUAACUGUUAACAACAACACAAAAAAUUAGUUUUCAUUAUACAUUUUUAACUAAUGCCAAGAAAUGGGCGGAGCUAGUCAAGACACGCCCACUGAAAGGGGCGUGGUCGAAAUUGAGAACAUUUUAAAAAUUGAAUUUAAAAAACUUUUUGUUUUGUAAAAAAACACCACCGGAAAUAAUGGAACAGUUUUAACUUUUUCGAAAUGCCAAAAAAUGGGCGGAGCUAAAAGACAAAGCCCACAGAAAAGGGGCGUGGUCAGGUCAAAAAUUGAAAAUUUUUCGAAAUUAAAAAAAUCAUUUUUCUUUAAAAAAAAAAACACCACCAAAAAUAUGAUUUACAUUGAGAAUUUUCAAAAUUUUCGAAAAGCCAAGAAAGGGCGGAGCCAACCAGAACGCGCCCACACAAAGGGGGCGUGGUUAAAAUUAAGAAAAAAAAAGUUCAAAAAAUUAAAUUAAAAAAAAAAACUUUUUUGUGAAAAACUCUACCGGAAAUAUGAUUUAAAUAGAAAAUUUUAACAUUUUCGAAAUAUCAUAAAAUGGGCGGAGCUAACGAUACCACGCCCACAGAAAAGGGGCGUGGCCAAAACUAAGAAUCGGAGAAAAACAUUAUUUUCUUGAAAAAGUCACUGAAAAUAUGAGUUAAAUUGAGCAUUUUCAAAAUUUUAGAAAUGCCAAGAAAUAGGCGGAGCCAACCAGACCACGCCCAUAAAAUGGGCGUGGCUUAUUGCACACUGUACUCAGAAAGUUAUAGUUUUUCGCAUGAAAACCGCUCUGAACAUGGAUUUCAAUUGAAAAUUUGUGAUUUUCUCGAGCUCAACCGUUUUGUGGGCAAAAAAUGGUUUAAAAAAUGAAAAAAGAAAGAAAAAAUAGAAGAAAAAGGAAAGAAAUGAAAAAAAUGAAAAAAAAAUGAGAAAAAAAAGAAAAAAAAAUGAAAAAAAAAAUGAAAAAAAAAUGAAAAAAAAAGAAAAAAAAAAGAAGAAAAAAAGAAAAAAAAAAGAAAAAAAAAGAGAAAAAAAUGAAAAAAAAAAAUGAAAAAAAAAUGAAAAAAAAAAGAAAAAGAAAAUAUGCUCUCUUUUUUUCUCUUUUUUUUUCCUUUUUUAAAUCAAUUUUCUGCAGAUCUCUGUUAUGCAAAGUAUGGAUCCCUCGUCAAUAGACUUGGGCUCAAUACCCGGUGGCUCGGAGCAACAACAACACGAGGACGGAGCAGCAGCAGCAGCUGGAAGUCCCAAAGAAGUAUUUCGAAGUCAGCAAUCACUUGGGCUCAUUACACAACGAUUCAUGAGCCUACGGCAAAGGAAUGAGGUGCUCAAUUUGAAUGAAGUGGCCAAAGAGUUGAAUAUCUCGAAACGACGCGUCUAUGACGUCAUCAAUGUGCUCGAGGGGCUCGGUUAUGUGGAGAAGGUGGAGAAGAAUAAUAUUCGAUGGAUGUUAGUGCGAUUUUUCCCGGUUUUUCCGAGUGAAAUUUGUUCAAUUUCUUAAAUUUUUUUCAUUCGAGGAAGAAUGAAAAAAAAUUUUAAGUAAAAAAUGCCUGAAAUGAAAAAUGAAAAAAAAAAGAGAAAAAAACGAUGAAACAUUUUUUUUUUCCUUUUUUUUUCAUUUUUUUUUCUUUUUUUUUCUUUUUUUUCCUUUUUUCCUUUUUUUCAUUUUUUUUUUCAUUUUUUUUCCUUUUUUUUUCUUUUUUUCAUUUUUUUUCAUUUUUUUUUUCCUUUUUUUCUUUUUUUCAUUUUUUCUUCUUUUUUUCUAGUAUUUUUUUUUCAUUUUUAGUAAUCGAGUUCAGAGCUGGCUGGGGUUUGUAUCAUUUAUUGAUAUUAAAUGAAAGGAUAGAGCCAUCAGAUAGGUGAUGGCUUAUAUACAAUAUGAAGUAGGCGGAGAAUCAAUAAGAUAAGUAAAAAUGACGGGGGAUAGGAAUGCAAUCAUAAUUGAAUGGUGCAAAAGAUAACAAAACAACAUUAAUAAUGUGAGGAUUGCGAGUGAGUCACGGGGCAAAGAGUACGAUCGCGUACAUUUAGACAAAAUUGGAAUUUCAUGAAAAAAAACCGUUUUCAACCAAAAAAUUGCAGAUUUGUCUAUAUUUUCAAGUGGAAGUUGAAAAUGAAAGCAAUUUUCCAAAUUUUCUCUGGAAAUUUGAUUUUUCAGGCAGUUUUUAAUGAAAUUUCAAUCAUUUUGAGCAAAAAUUCAGAAGUCUUCAAUUUUUGACCGAAAAACUGCUACUUUUCUGAUUUUUCUCGACAUUUUGACUGAAAAUCACUGUUUCAGCUAAUUUUGACUGGGUUUUCCGAAUUUUUUAGGUGGAAAUUGAAAAUUAAAGCAAAGUUCCAAUUUUCCACUAAAAUUCGAUGAUAUUGAAAGAAAAUAUGCGCAAAUCUGCAAUUUUUGGCUCAAAAACUGAUAUUUUUCCGAUUUUUCCCGAAAUUUUGGCUAAAAAUCACAAUUUCAGCCAAUUUUUUCCUGAUUUUCUGAUUUUCCAGAGGAAUUUCUCAAAAAAAAAACUGUUAUCCAGUCAAAAUUUCGAGAAAAACGGAAAAAUUGCAUAAUUGUCUAUAUUUUCCGUAAAAAUGAUUGAAGUUUUAAUAAAAAGUGUUUCCCGGUAAAAGUUGGAAAAUUGCUUUAAUUUUCAACUUCCACUUGAAAAUAUAGACAAAUCUGCAAUUUUUUGGUUGAAAACGGGUUUUUUUUUCAUGAAAUUCCAAUUUUGUCUAAAAAUGAAAAAAAAAAUACUAGAAAAAAAGAAAAAAAGGAAAAAAAAAUGAAAAAAAGAAAAAAAAGAAGAAAAAUGAAAAAAAGAAAAAAAAGAAGAAAAAUGAAAAAAAGAAAAAAAGGAAAAAAAAAAUGAAAAAAAAAAAGAAAAAAAAAGGAAAAAAAAUGUUUCAUCGUUUUUUUCUCUUUUUUUCAUUUUUCAUUUCAGGCAUUUUUUACUUAAUUUUUUUUUCAUUCUUUCUCGAAUGAAAAAAAAUGUUUUUUUUUUCGAUUUUCCCUAUUUUUUCCAGUGGAGACAACAACAAUUCCGAAGAGCAAAACGCGCUCGAGGCCCGAGUCGAGAUGCUCCGCCAACAGGAAAAGCUGCUCGAACUGAUGAUACGAGAUGCUCAAGCGAUUAUUGAGCUCCAUUUUGAGGAUCCAAUUGAGCGGCCCUAUAAGUUUGUUUUUUUCUAAAAUUUUUGAGUAAAAUUGAAAAAGAAAUGAAAAAAAGAGAAAAAUGAAGAAAAAAAGAUGAACAAAAAGAGAAAAAAAAAGAAUGAAAAAAGAGGAAAAAAAGGAAAAAAAAAUUUUUUUAAAGUUUUUUUCAUUUUUUACAUUAAUAAUGAAAAAAAGUGAAAAAAGGAAAAAUGAAAAAAGAGAAAAAAAAAAGGAAAAAAAGAAUGAAAAAAAGAGGAAAAAAAGUUGUUUUCCUUUUUUCAUUCUUUUUUCAUUUUUUACACUAAUAAUGAAAAAAAAAAAUGCAAAAAGGAAAAAUGAAAAAAGAGAAAAAAAAGAAUGAAAAAAAGAGGAAAAAAAGUUUUUUUUUUCUUUUUUCAUUCUUUUUUCAUUUUUUACAUUAAUAAUGAAAAAAAGUGAAAAAAAGAAAAAAAUGAAUGAAAAAAGAGGAAAAAAGAAAGAGAAAAAAGGAAACAAAGAAUGAAAAAAAGAGGAAAAAAAGUUUUUUUUCUUUUUUCAUUCUUUUUUCAUUUUUUACAUUAAUAAUGAAAAAAGUGAAAAAAGGAAAAAAAUUGUAAAAAAAAGAGAAAAAAGGAAAAAAAGAAUGAAAAAAAAAGUGUUUUCUUUCUUUUUUUCAUUCUUUUUCAUUUUUUACAUUAAUAUUGAAAAAAAGUGAAAAAAAAAUGUUUCAACUGAGAAAGUAAGAAAAAAGAGAAUUCCAAUUUUUGGACAAAAUAAGGAAAAAAUGAAAGAAAAACUGAAAAAAAUAAUUUUAAAAAAUGGAAAAAAAUGAAAUAUUUAACAAAUAAAAUGAGAAAAAUUGUUUAUCAUUUUUUUAAAUAAAAAAAAGAACUAUUUUCAGUUAUGUGAGCAAAGAAGACAUUCGAAAAACCGCCGAGCCGAACACAAAAUCGAUUAUCGUAAAAUCAGAACUGGAUACGAGCAGCUCCUUUGAGGUUCGAUUUUUUGGCGAUUUUUAAAUUUUAUUUCGAAAAAAAUUUAAGAACAUAAAUUUUCAGCUAAUUUUUAGCUAAAAUCUCAAAAAAAAACCACAACUUUUUGAAAAUUUGCAACCCAAAAAUCCACAAGAAAAAUCAAUAAUAGGCUCCGCCGCCCAUAUAUUGGCUUAAAAUCGGGCCAUUUUUCCAGAUCCAAGUAACAGACCCGAGCACCAGUGGCUCACACGAUAUGAUAGUUCGGAAUAAGAAUGGAGUCAAAUCUCACGCGUUGCUCUUCACAAAUGAUCCGCCAGAGUACGGCGAUGAGGAGGACGAGGACGAUGUGAAAAAAUUAUCAUCACAAAAAAGAUUUGAGACAUCUGAAGCAUUACGUGUAACCCUAGCUGAAAUGCUAACAGAUCCCACAACAAUCUCAUCAUCACCAAAACACAUCAAAUUAGAAGAACCGGAGGAAAUUGAUACCGAGGAUUUGGGUGCGAGGAAUUCACAGAAUUCGGAAAAAAUCUGAAAAAAAUCGCAGGAAAAUGACUUAAAAAUUCCAAUUGUCCGAGAGGAGUACAAUUUAUUUCGAAAAAAUUUUAAAAAAAAUCAAAUUUCGAUUAUCGGAGAGGAGUACAAUUUAUUUCGAAAAAAAAUUGAAAAAAAAAUAAUAAAAUUUCGAUUGUCCGAGAGGAGUACAAUUUAUUUCGAAAACAUUUUAAAAAAUCAAAUUUCGAUUUUCCGAGAGGAGUACAAUUUUUUUCGAAAAAAAUUUAAAAAAAUCUAAUUUCGAUCGUCCGAGAGGAGUACAAUUUAUUUCGAAAAAAAUUUAAAAAAAUCAAAUUUCGAUUUUCCGAGAGGAGUACAAUUAUUUUGGAAAAAAAUUGAAAAAAAAAUUUGAUAGUCCGAGAGGAGUACAAUUUAUUUCGAAAAAAUUUUAAAAAAAUCAAAUUUCGAUCGUCCGAUGGCAAUUUUCCGGCAAACAUUUCCAAUUUCCAAAUUUUUCCAGAAACUUUUGCCCCCCCGGAAUUUUCCGAAAAUAAGUGGUCACAAAAAAUAGGGGGCGGGCUUGCCAUUUUGUGGGCGUGGCUUGCUCUUAUGCCCCGCCCACAAAAUGGGAACUUUUUUUCGGCAAAAUUUUUCAAAUUCUUUCCAGAAACAGUCGCCCGAAGUUUUUUUUUUUUUUAAUUUGAAAAAAAUAUGAUUUCCGAGAAGGCACAGAAAAAUGGGCGGAGCGUAGGAGGCUACGCCCACAAAAGAGGCGGAGCGUUAACAUUUCGCCGAGAAAGUGUCCAUUUUGUGGGCGUGGUUUGAGAUUGAAAAUUUUGCAUUUUCCGAAAAAAAAACUUCUUGAGACAGAGUUUGCCGCAAAGGCACGGAAAAGUGGGCGGACUUACCAAUUUGUAGGCGUGGUCUGUGAAGCUCCUCCCAUUUAAUGCCCCGCCCACAAAAUGGCAACUUUUUUUCGGAAAAAAUUUCCAAAUCGCCCGGAAUUUUCAAAAAAAAAAAAAGAUCACAAAAAAUGGGGCGGGCUUACCAUUUUGUGGGCGUGGCUAGUUAUUCCCCGCCCACAAAAUGAUCAUUUUUUCGGCAAAAAAUUCCAACUUUCCAAAUUCUUUCCAGAAAUCAUCGGCCGGAAUUUCCCAAAAAAAAAAAAGGUGCCUACACGUGGUGUCACGUUGUCCCAUCACGGUUUGAUCUACAAAAAAUGCGGGAAUUUUUUCCCCAAAAAAUGUGACGUCAGCAUGCGAAAUCAGUUGAGAGCUCUGCACCUUUUCUCCCGCGUUUUUUGUAGAUCACAACGAAACGGGACAACCUGACACCACGUGGGCUUACCAUUUUGUGGGCGUGGUUAGCUAUGCCCCGCCCACAAAAUGGUCUUUUUUUUUUCGGCAAAAAAUUCCAAAUUUCCAAAUUCUUUCCAGAAACCUUUGUGCUCCCUCCAUCCACAUCAGCUUCACAAUCAAAUGCUCCAUAUCUACCAGAAACUCCAGGCCGUGGGCUCUUUUUCAGUCCAUUCAAGUCACUUAUCGAUCCGUGUAUUCUGCCGAGUUUCUCCGAUGAUCUGACAAGUGGUUAUAUUAAUAUUACGACACCGUCGAGAGCCACUGGAGCCGGAGCCGGAGCCAGCGGCCAGGAAGACGAGGAGCCCGUCAGUGUUAUGGACUUUUUCUCUGAUUAAUUUUUGAAUUUAUUUUAAAUUGUGUUAUUUUUAAAAAGGUUUUCUUUUUGUUAAAAAUUGAGAAUUUUGGUGGAAUCGCGCUGCAAACGCGCUCCACGGCAAUCAUUUUUCGUUUUUUUUUGUGCCAUGUGGUGCCAGCCAGGCUGUCCCAUAACGGUUUGAUCUACAAAAAAUGCGGGAAUUUUUUGCACAAAAAGUAAAAAAGUAUGACGUCAGCACGUUCUUAACCAUGCGAAAUCAGUUGAGAACUCUCUUGUAUCUCUUCUCCCGCAUUUUUUGUAGAUCAACGUAGAUCAAGCUGAAAUGAGACCUCAAUAAAAACACGAGGAAUUCAAAUUUUUGGCCGUGGAGCGCGCUUGCAUCACGAUUUCAACCCCCCCCCCCCCCCCUGAUGACGUCACAGUGUACCUUUUUUUUGAAUCUCGGUUGAAUUAUCUCUUCCAUUAUUAUUACAUCUCCCCCGCCCAGAAUAUCUCAGGUUUUUUGUUUUAAAAUAUUAUUUUUGAAAAUUUUCUAAUUUCUUUUAAUUCUCUAUACCUUUUUCGGCUCAUAAAUUCCCCUUUUUUUUCUCGAAAGUUUGAUUUAAACAUAUACAUAUGUACGAAUUUUAUUGAUUUUUUUUUUCGAUUUUUUUCUCCAAUUUUAUGGUUUACUACCACAGCCAAUUUUCUAUCUUUCUUAAAUUACAUUUUCAGGAAAAUCGAAUUUAGAUUAAAAAAAAUAUAUAUUGCAAAAACCCACAAACACAAACAGAAAAGUUCGAAUUUUGCAAAUUUUGUUUGUCCGAGAGGAGUACACGAAAUUUUCAAAUUUUUGAUAAGCUAAUUUUCAAACCAAAAUUUCUUAAAAUUCGGAUCGUCCGAAAGGAGUACAAUUUUUUUUUGAAAAAGACGAAAACAAAAUUUUGAAAAUUCAGGUUGUCCGAGAGGACUACACAAAAUUUUGAAAAUUCAGGUUGUCCGAGAGGAGUACAAUUCAUUUCGAAAAAAUUUUAAAAAAAAUCUACUUUCGAUUUUCCGAGAGGAGUACAAUUCAUUUCGAAAAAAUUCGAAUUCCGAAUUUUGAAAAUUCAAUUUUCGAUUUUCCGAGUGGACUACAAUUUGUUUCGAGAAAAUUGAAAAAAAAAACCUGAUUUCGAUCGUCCGAAAGGAGUACAAUUCAUUUCGAAAAAAUUUUAAAAAAAUCUAAUUUCGAUUUUCCGAGAGGAGUACAAUUCAUUUCGAAAAUAUUCGAAUUCCUAAUUUUGAAAAUUCAAGUUGUCCGAGAGGACUACACGAAAAUUAAAGCCAAAAAAUUAUGCAAAAAUUCAAAUUUUCGAAAAUUAGGAUUUUCCGAGAGGAGUACAAAUUUUCAGCAUUCCAAAAAAAAAUGACAGCCGGCGGCCGAAUUCUACGGCUCACCGCCGACAACAUUGAGGAGGCAAUUGACGCGGCGGUUUGCGUAUUUCUGAGAGGAGGUUAGCACCCCGCCUCCUACAGUACCCCUACCGUACUCCCUAGGGCUUUCAUGGUAGGCAGGCGCCGCCUGCCUGAUGCCUGCCUGCCUCACCCCGACAUUUCGCUCUUUUUUUCAUUUUUAAGAAUUUACAAUUUUCGAAUUUUCUCAAUUCUAGUAAUAAGGCGCCGCCAAUUGAGGCGAUAGGCAGGCAGGCGGGAGACAGGCAGGCAUUUCACUGCCUGCCUGGAAGCCCUAGUACCCCUUCGACCAAUUCUCCUCUCCAGGAAUCGUCGCCCUACCAACCGACACUCUCUACGGAAUCUCCACCCUACUACAGUACUCUGACAGGCUCUACGCGUUGAAACAACGGCCGUACGAGAAGCCGCUCGGCAUUUUUCUGCCGAGCCCGACGGCGAUGAAGCUCGUCUCAAGGCAGACGAUUUCCGAUGAGCUAGCGAAUUGGUUCGUAUAGAAAAUUUGGAGCUCAGCGGAGCUCUUGAAAACACCAGAUUUGACGCGCAAUUUUUUGGAAAUUUGCUCGUAAAAUAUGGUGUAUUGGCUCCGCCCCCAAUGCACCAGAUUUCACGCGCAUAAUUUAGAAAAACUGAGCUUGCGGACUCGAAAACACUAGAUUUGACGCGCGAAUUUUUUCAAAAAUUAAAAUUUGCUCGUCAGAUCAAGUGUAUCGACUCCGCCCCCUCCCAAUGCACCAGAUUUCACGCGCAUAAUUUAGAAAAACUGAGCUUGCGGACUCGAAAACACUAGAUUUGACGCGCGAAUUUUUUCAAAAAUUAAAAUUUGCGCGUAAAAUAUGGUGUAUUGGCUUCGUCCCCAAUGCACCAGAUUUGACGCGCAAACUUUGAAAAUCUGCUCGUAAAAUAUGGUGUAUUGGCUCGGCCCUCAAUGCAACAGAUUUCACGCGCAAAUUUGAGAGAAAUUUGAGCUUGCGGAGUCAAUACACCAGAUUUGACGCGCAAAUUGUGGAAAUUUGCUCGUAAAAUAUGGUGUAUGGACUCCGCCCCCAAUGCACCAGAUCUGACGCGCAGUUUUUCAUCGAAAAAAUUAAAAUUUGCUCGUCAGAUCAAGUGUAUCGGCUCCGCCCAUCAAUGCACCAGAUUUUACGCGCAAAGUUGAGAGAAGUUUGAGCUUGCGUACUUGAAAACACCAGAUUUGACGCGCAAAUUUUAUGAAAAAUUUAAAUUUGAGCGUAAGAUAUGGUGUAUCGACAAAUUUUCAGCCUCCUCCCCGGUCCAGUUACAUUAAUGUUCGAACGCCUUCCAUGCCUACCGGCGGAAUUUAAUCCGGGAGUUGUUAACGUAGCCUGUCGGGUUCCAGACUGCCCAAUUGUUUCGACGAUAUGCAAGUAAAUAAUGGAAAAAUAACGUUGUUUUGGAAAUCGAAAAAUCAAUAAUUAUCGAUUUUUCUAAAUUUUUUGAAAUUCGAAAAAUCGGCAAUUAUCGAUUUUUUUUUGAAAAUCGCCAAUUAUCGAUUUUUUGGAAAUCGGCAAUUAUCGAUUUUUUUGAAAAUCGGCAAUUAUCGAUUUUUUUGAAAAUCGCCAAUUAUCGAUUUUUUUGAAAUCGGCAAUUAUCGAUUUUUUGGAAAAUCGUCAAUUAUCGAUUUUUUGGAAAUCGGUAAUUAUCCAUUUUUUGAAAAUCGGCAAAUAAUCGAUUUUUUUGAAAAUCGCCAAUUAUCGAUUUUUUUGAAAUCGGCAAUUAUCGAUUUUUCAAUUUUUUUUUCAGAAACCAGUAAUUAUCAAUUUUCCAAUCCGGUCCCAUUUUUUCCAGAAAACUCGGCCAACCGCUCGCUCAAACAUCGGCCAACGUCAGUGGAUCCUCACUCAACCCGACAUCAAUCGAUCAUUUCCGAGAUCUUCAUCCGAAUAUCGAUCUGAUCCUCGACGCCGGAUCAAUCAUCUCCAGUGGUGAAGGAUCAACGAUUGUCGAUUUGACUGUUGAAUCAGGAUUCCGGAUUGUUCGAAGUGGAUGUGCUGAGAAGGAGACGAUGCAGAAGCUUAAAUCAUUCGGAUUGACGAAAAUUCAGUGAUCUUGGGGUUGUGAAGUUGGAAGAGUUUUUCAAGUUUCUAGGCCACCCGACGUCACAAAUUCUGUAUUUUCCACAUUUUUCUAUGAUUUUUUCUUGUUUUGUACACUGAUUUUGUUGAUUUUUUGUUAAUAAUUCAUAUUUUUUGGAAAAUCUUUUUUUAUUAUUUUUUGCCAUUUCCCCAGUGUUUCUCAACACUUUUUAUAUCGAUUUCCAAACAAUUUUAUUUGAAAAUUCUAAUUUUCAGAAAAAAAAACAAAUUUUACAGAUAAUGGGAGACCCUGUGGAGGGCAAGGGAGGACCACAACCGCGUGGCGGCAAGAAAAAAGGUAAUUUUUGGGGGUCUCGUAGCGAUUUUACGGGUAGUAGUUACAGUAGGUCCAAAACUUUUUUUUUCCAAAACAUUAAUUUCCCCCCAAAUUUCGAAUUUCGCGCCAAAAAUUUGGAAAUAAAAAAUUCAAAUUAUCCUCAACAACAUUUGUUUGAAAAAUUCAAUUUUAAUCGUGCGCCAGAAAUUUUGAAAAAAAUUGGAUUUCCCCCCAAAAAUGUUUUCAAAGUAUUUAAAUUUCCCGCCAAAAAUUUAGGAGCUGUACAGUACCCCUACAGUACCCCUUCAGUACUGCUACAGUACACCUACAGUGUCCCUAUAGUACCCCUAUAGUACUCCUACAGUACUCCUACCGUACCCCUACUGUACUUCUACAGUACCCAUACAGUACCCCUACAGUAUCCCUACAGUUCUCUUAUAGACCAGUACAGUACUAACACAGCACCCCUACAGUACCCCUACACUCCCCCUACAGUACUCCCACAGUACCCCUACAGUACCCCUACAGUACCCCUACAGUACCCCUACAGUACUCCUACAGUACCCCUACAGUACUCAAAAAAUUUGAAUUUCGAAAUUCAAAAAAAGUUCAAAAUUUUAACUCCCGCCAAAUUUUUUUGUUGAAAAUUUAAAUUUCUCACCAAAAAAUGUGUUUUUUUUUUCAAAAUUUUGAAUUCCCGUAAAUUAAAAUUUCAUUUUUGCGCCAGAUUUUUUCAAAAUUCAAAAUUUCCACCAAAGUUUUCGAAAAUUCCCAACAAAAAAAAAUUCCAGACGCAGACGACGAGAAGAACGCGUGGGAAGAGGGUGAUUUCAUAGAUGAAAAGGUUCGUUUUUUGAAAUUUGAAAUUUUCCAUUUAAAAAAUUAGAAAAAAAAGUAGUACUAGACCCCCCCCCCCCCCUCCCCUAACACAGAACAAUCCCCCUAAGAUGUACAUAAUAUAGAUCCAUCUCAAAUUGAGCCGGGGCUCCACUUGCACAUCAUCUGCCACGUCAUCGGCCCCCUCAUCCACGUCAUCAACACGUGCCCGGCGCAAUUGGUCAGUCUUCUCGGAGCGGCUACGGGAAACGUUGAGCCGAGUCGGCGGCGGCGGUCCCUCAUCCACUACUGAUUCUCUGAUAUUGUUUGACGUGAAACGUGUUGGUGAUUGCAUGUGGAUUUGUGAACGAGCUGCUUCUCCUCCGUCUUCCUUUGAUUCAUCUUCCUCGGAUUCCGAUGACGAUUCGUUUCUUCGAAUCUUCAAAUUCUUCCCACCAACCCCUGCAGUCUCCUUGGACACCCUUGCGUCGGGAUUUGACAACACUGGAAAUGUGAGGAUCUGGCCUGGAAGUGAGGCACUCGCCUGGACCAUCCUACGGGAUCCCAACAAGAUCCUUGGUCCCAGCCUUGGCGACGGUGAUGGUGGUGGCCACAGGAGAAUCCUAGAGCUUGGCGCUGGCUUCUUGGGACUUUCAAGCAUUCUGAUUGCAUGCAAGGUUCCCGAUUCGAGUGUCUGGGUUACAGAUGGUAACAUGGAAUCCGUGCGUUCUCUGGAAAAGAUUCGAAAUUCAAACUCGUCGUUGGAUCGCUGCUGCCACGUGCGGCAGUUGAUUUGGGGCGCACAAGAGCUCCAGCAGCAGCACACCUUUGACACGAUUCUCGCGGCGGACUGUGUAUUCUUCUCGGAGCACCACGAAUCUCUCAUGAAAUGCAUUCACUCGCACCUUCGGCCCAGUGGCCGAGCGAUUUUGUCGAGCCCCCGCCGGAAGCAAAGUUUGCAAAAGUUUUUGGACUAUGUUGGCACUGUGUGGAGUGACGAGUUCACGGUUUGCAUCGAGCCGGAUCUCAAUUUGGCGUUGGAGCAGAAAAUCGGACGAAUUUGGAUGGACGGAGAGGAGAAGGACGAGAAAUUUCCGAUUCUUGUGAUUCUGCAGAAAAUUUGAGAAAAUUUAAUUUCUUAAAUUAAAAAAAAAAAAAACUCGUUGCGUUAGAUUUACGCGGCUCGUGUACUCCUCCUCAAUUUCGUGGUGUAUUUUGCAUUCAAAUCGCGUCUACACGUGGUGGCGCCGCGCCUGUCCCCUUACGGUUUGAUCUACAAAAAAUUCGGGAUUUUUUUAGCCCAAAAAAUGUGACGUCAGCACGUUCUUAACCAUCAAUUGAGAACUCUGCGUCUCGAGAGAAGAUCUUCUCCCGCAUUUUUUGUAGAUCUACGUAGAUCAAGCCGAAAUGAGAGACACUCUGACAAAACACCACACCUAUUCAUAGUGUUUUGUGUGAAAAUCUAUGUUUUUUUUUCUGACAAAAAAUUAUUUUUCUCAUAAAACAAUAUAAAUUACCAAUUUUUGUUGAAAAUCGCCAAUUAUCGAUUUUUUUGAAAAUCGGCCAUUAUCGAUUUUUUUUGAAAAUCGGCAAUUAUCGAUUUUUUUGAAAAUCAGCAAUUAUCGAUCUUUUUGAAAAUCGGCAACUAUCGAUUUUUUUUUGAAAAUCGGCAAUUAUCGAUUUUUUUUGAAAAUCGGCAAUUAUCGAUUUUUUUGAAAAUCGGCAAUUAUCGAUCUUUUUGAAAAUCGGCAAUUAUCGAUUUUUUUUUGAAAAUCGGCAAUAAUCGAUUUUUUGAAAAUCGGCAAUUAUCGAUUUUUUUGAAAAUCGCCAAUUAUCGAUUUUUUUGAAAAUCGCCAAUUAUCGAUAUUCUUGAAAAUCGGCAAUUAUCGAUUUUUUUUUGAAAAUCGGCAAUUAUCGAUAUUCUUGAAAAUCGGCAAUUAUCGAUUUUUUGGAAAUCGGCAAUUAUCGAUUUUUUGGAAAUCGGCAAUUAUCGAUUUUUUUUUUGAAAAUCGCCAAUUAUAGAUUUUUUAAUUUUUUCUGAAAAAAAAGGAUUUUCUCCUAAAACGCAUUGAAUAAAAACCGAUUUAAGGUUAAAUACAAAAACAACAGAAAAUUGCCCAAAAUCGAGAAUUCUCGAGAAAUCUUCUCCUCGGGGACUACACGAGGCGCGUAAAUCAACACAUACGACUCUUUCAUUUUCGAUACGUGCCUGCGCCUUCAAAAAGUGGUUACUGUACCCUUGGCGCACGGCAUGUGGUCUCGACACGACCGAAACUUUGCAGCUACCAUGGUUACUGUAGCUGCGGAGUUCCUGGGUCUCGCAACGAUUUAGUUCAUCUCAAUGUUUUUUUUUUAAAUAACAACAAAACAAGUGUAAUUAGUUUGUGUAUGUUUUCCGGUAUCCUACCACUUUUAUCGAUUUUUCGAUUUUUCUAUCGAUUUUUCUUUCUUGGCUGUGAUUCCUUCCCCACCCCCCUCGAGCUUCAGAUUUUAGACGUAUCUCUCUCUUUUACAGUUUCUUGUCUCGCAAUAAUUUUUUAAAUCGCAUUUUCUAGCAUUUCACCAUUUCACCUACAAACAAAUGUAUCUCACCAAUGUCGAAAAAAUCAUUUAUACAGAAUAAAGUUUAAUUUAGCUGAUCUCUUUUGAAUUCGAUGGCUUCUGCCUUUCUAUAGCUGAUUGGUGGUGCAAAAAUCGAUUUUUAUCGAUUUUACCCCAACAAUCGGCAAUAGAGCGCAUUUGCCACCGGAAAUGCGGAAGCUAUGCCCAAAUUUUCAAUUUUUCCCGGGAAACAUGCCACAAGUUACCGAAUAUGUAGUGGCUUCUGCGUUGCUAUUCUGAUUGGUGGUUCAAAAUGACGUGGUUUCUGGCUGUCCCAUUACGGUUUGAUCUACAAAAAAAAUGCGGGAAUUCAGUUGAAAACUCUCUACGUCUCUGCUCCCGCGCAUUUUUUGUAGAUCUACGGAGAUCAAGCCGAAAUGAGACACUCUGACACCACGUGCGAAAAUCGAUAUUCAAAGGUUACUAGCCUUUAAAUAUUGAUUUUGCUCCAACAAUUGGCCAUAGAGCGCAUUUGCCACCGGGGAUGCGGAAGCUAUCCCCAAAUUUUCACCUUUUCUCCUUUUCCAAUAGGAACUAAAAGGUGCUCUACAACUCGGUGUGCUCAAAACCGCCGACUCGGUUGCUCUGCGAGCCGGCGAGCGAAACGGUCUGGAUAUGGUGGUCGAAGAGGACGUGGUCAGUCAAGUCGGAGCUCUCGUCUGGGAUACGGUUGCACAAGACUGGGCAGACGAUUUGGCGAGAUUUGUGGCUCACGCCGGACGUCAGAGGGUUAAUAUGGACGAUAUUUCGCUGCUGACGAGGAGGAAUCCGGAUUUGGUGGGUUUUGUUGAGCAAAAAAAAAAUUCUGAAAAUUUUGCAAAAAAAAGUUUUUUUACUAAAAAAAAGGCACAAAUAAGGCCACGCCCCAGAAAUGGGCGGGGCUUGAUUUUUUACUCGGAAAAUUUGAAUUUUCCGUCAAAAUAUUUUUUUUUGAUCUCAAAAAAUUCGAAUUUGCCGGCCAAAUUGUUUUUCUCAAAAAAAAAAAAAAUUCCCGCUAAAAUGGUUUUUUGGAAAAUUUGAAUCCCCACCAAAAAACUUUUUUCAGAAAACUUGAAUUUCCCGCCCAAAUUGGUUGAUCAAAAUAUUUGAAAAAAACCCGUCAAAAUUGUUCAGGUCCCGCCCACAUAAUGGACAAAAAUUGUUUUUUUCUCAAAAAAUUUGAAUUUCCCUCUUCUAAAUUUUUAAAAUGAAGCCACCACGCCCACAAAAUGGACAGAAUUAACGUAAAAAAAAAUUUAUGGAAAUUUCCUAAUUUUGUACCUAAAAAUGAAAAUCAAAGCUCAUUUUUUUCCAAAAAAUGUAGAAUUGUAUAUUUUGAAGCAUUUUUUUCUGAACAAUUUGAAUAAAAACGGAAUUUUUUGCUUAAAAAAAUGCAGGCCACGCCCCAAAAAUGGGCGGGGCUUGAUUUUUUACUCGGAAAAUUUGAAUUUUCCGUCAAAAUAUUUUUUUUUGAUCUCAGAAAAUUUGAAUUUUGCGCCAAAAUUGUUUUUCUCAAAAAAAAAAAUAAUUUCCCGCCGAAUAUGUGUUUUCUCAGAAAAUUUGAAUUUCCCGCAAAAAAGUUUUUUUUUCGGAAAAUUUGAAUUUCCCGCCCAAAUUGGUUGAUCAAAAUAUUUGAAUUUCCCUCCAAAAAAAUUGUUUUUUCUUAAAAAAUUUGAAUUUCCCGCUAAAAUUUUUAAAAUGAAGCCACCAAUGGACAGAAUUAACGUUUUUUUUCAAAAAUUUUUUUUUUCUAGAAAUUCCCAAAUUUUGUACUUAAAAAUGAAAAUCAAAGCUCAUUUUUUUCCAAAAAAGUGGGAAAAAAAAUCGAAAUUUCAAGCCACGCCCACACUUAAUGGUUAUUUCCAGCUCCGCGCAGCGUGUGAGCUUGCUGGCGUUGACUGCCCACAGGAAACUUCUGGCGGCACAAAAGGGAAGCCCAGAAAACGAAAAAAGGAUGACGUCACAGUUGCUCCGAUGCUCCGUGCUGCUCCAAGUGCUCCGAAUUCUCAAAAUGCUCCACUACUUGCUCCGAUUCAAGAAGAAGACGAUGAAAAUGAUGAUGAUGAUGAGAUAACAAUUCUCGAUGAUCAAAUCCUUCACACACCACAACAGAAAUCCUAUUCGAAAAAAGCGAAAUUUUCCGAGGAAGAAGCUCCGUCGAGUCGAAAACGAAUUUCAACUUCAACGCCAAAAACCACCGCCGAACGAACGUUGAAAUUUCCGGAUGAAAUAACGCCGAUUCGGCAGCCGAAUGAUCUACAGGAAAUUGUGGUGUUCAAUAGAGCGAAUUUGAGUGCAAUUGAAGAGGAAGAACAGCAGGAUUCAUUUGAUGCUUUUGGAACCACCGGGGGCAAUGAUUCGUCGUCGAAAACGGUGAGAACAUUUUGAAUUUAUCGCCAAAAAAUUGGUUUUAACAGAAAAUUUGAAUUCCCGCCAAAAUUUUUCUGGUACGAAAAUCGAUUGCAAAAUAAAUUAGAAACAAUCCAUUAAAGGGGCGGAGUCUACGAGGUCACGCCCACACAUUGGGCGGAGUUUUGGUCGGAACUUUUUCUCGGAAAAUUUGAAUUUCCCGCCAAAAAAAUUUUAUCGGAAAAUUUGAAUUCCCUGCCAAAAAUUUGUAAACAGUACAGUACUCCUACAGUAUCCCUACACUGCCCCCACAGUACCCCCACUGUAUGCCUUCAGUACUCCUACAGUACCUCUACAAUUUUGCUACAGUACCUCUACAGUAUUCCUACAGUACCUCUACUGUAUCUCCACAGUAUCCCUAUAGUACUACUAUUACAGUACCCCUACAGUACCCCUACAAUGCUCCUACUGUAUCCCCACAGUACCCCUACAAUAUCCUACAGUACCCCUACACUACCUUUACAGUACACCUACAGUACCCCUAAAGUACCCCUACAGUAUCCCUACAGUACCUUUACAGUACACCUACAGUACCCCUACAUUACUCCUACAGUAUCCCUACAGUACCCCUACACUACCUUUACAGUACACCUACAGUACCCCUAAAGUACUCCUACAGUAUCCCUACAGUAACCCUACAUUACUCCUACAGUACCCCUACAGUAGUUCUACAGUACCCCUACACUACCUUUACAGUACACCUACAGUACCCCUACAUUACUCCUACAGUAACCCUACAGUACCUCUACUGUAUCCCCACAGUACCCCUACAAUAUCCUACAGUACCCCCAAAGUACUCCUACAGUAUCCCUACAGUGCCCCUAAAGUACCCCUACAAUAUCCUACAGUACCCCUACACUACCUUUACAGUACACCUACAGUACCCCUAAAGUACCCCUACAGUAUCCCUACAGUACCUUUACAGUACACCUACAGUACCCCUACAUUACUCCUACAGUAUCCCUACAGUACCCCUACACUACCUUUACAGUACACCUACAGUACCCCUAAAGUACUCCUACAGUAUCCCUACAGUAACCCUACAUUACUCCUACAGUACCCCUACAGUAGUUCUACAGUACCCCUACACUACCUUUACAGUACACCUACAGUACCCCUACAUUACUCCUACAGUAACCCUACAGUACCUCUACUGUAUCCCCACAGUACCCCUACAAUAUCCUACAGUACCCCUACACUACCUUUACAGUACACCUACAGUACCCCUACAUUACUCCUACAGUACCCCUACAGUAAUUCUACAGUAUCCCUACAGUAUCCCUACAGUAACCCUACAGUACUACUACAGUACCCCUACAGUACCCCUAUAAUAUCCAUACUUUUCCAGAUAACCAACACCUCCUCACUGCUCCGCCAAGCCGAAGAGCACCGUUCCUCGAUUGUGGAGCCGACGAAGGAUCGCAUCGAAAAAGAACGUCUCGAUCGCCUAGUUCCAGACGAUGAGGAGGUCUGGAAUUACGCUUUUUUUUACAUUUUUUCAAUAAAAAUUCUGAAAUUUUCAGUUCGAAAACGCCAGCGUCGACUCUUUCGACAAUUUCAACGCGGAGCCAGAUCCGGCUCCUGCACCAGCUCUGGCUCCAGUUCCAGAGAAAAGAACAUCGGUUUUCAGUAAAAGUAUGGCAGAAAUUCGAAUUUUUUCCUUACAAAAAAAUCAAUAAAUUCAGAAAUUUGUUCAUUCGACUUUGACGACGACGACGGCGACGAUUCUUUUGAUGAGCCCGUUGUGGUGGUGGCCGAGGUUCCGAAAUUGCCAGUGCAGCAGCAGAAAACGCCGAAAGCUUCUGGUUCGGAGAGCAAAAAGUACGGAAAAAAAGAAAAAAAAAGGACGCCCAUUAAAGGGGCGGGGCGAUCCAGGUCACGCCCACAGAAUGGGCGGAGUUUUCUAGGCCACGAAUUUCCCGCCAAAACUUUUUUUCUCAUAGUCAGACAAUUUGAAUUUCGCGCCAAAAUUUGAAUUUUGCCGAUAUGCCGAUUUGCCAGAGUUUUUGAUUUUCGGCAAUUUGCCAAUUUGCCAGAAUUUUUGAAACUCCGCGAUUUGCCGAUUUGCCAGAGUUUUUGAUUUUCGGCAAUUUGCCAAUUUGCCAGAAUUUUUGAAACUCCGCGAUUUGCCGAUUUGCCGGAAUUUUUGAUUUUCGGCAAUUUGCCGAUUUGCCGGAAUUUUUGAUUUUCGGCAGUUUGCCGAUUUGCCGGAAUUUUUGAUUUUCGGCAAUUUGCCGAUUUGCCGGAAUUUUUGAUUUUCGGCAAUUUGCCGAUUUGCCGGAAUUUUUGAAACUUGGCAAUUUGCCGAUUUGCCGGAAUUUUUGAUUUUCGGCAGUUUGCCGAUUUGCCGGAAUUUUUGAUUUUCGGCAAUUUGCCGGGUUGCCGGAAUUUUUGAAACUUGGCAAUUUGCCGAUUUGCCGGAUUUUUUGAUUUUCGGCUAUUAGCCGAUUUGCCGGAAUUUUUGAAACUCCGCGAUUUGCCGAUUUGCCAGAGUUUUUGAUUUUCGGCAAUUUGCCAAUUUGCCAGAAUUUUUGAAACUCCGCGAUUUGCCGAUUUGCCGGAAUUUUUGAUUUUCGGCAAUUUGCCGAUUUGCCGGAAUUUUUGAUUUUCGGCAGUUUGCCGAUUUGCCGGAAUUUUUGAUUUUCGGCAAUUUGCCGAUUUGCCGGAAUUUUUGAUUUUCGGCAAUUUGCCGAUUUGCCGGAAUUUUUGAAACUUGGCAAUUUGCCGAUUUGCCGGAAUUUUUGAUUUUCGGCAGUUUGCCGAUUUGCCGGAAUUUUUGAUUUUCGGCAAUUUGCCGGGUUGCCGGAAUUUUUGAAACUUGGCAAUUUGCCGAUUUGCCGGAUUUUUUGAUUUUCGGCUAUUAGCCGAUUUGCCGGAAUUUUUGAAACUCGGCGAUUUGCCAAUUUGCCAGAAUUUUUGAUUUUCGGCAAUUUGCCAAUUUGCCAGAAUUUUUGAAACUCGGCAAUUUGCCGAUUUGCCAGAAUUUUUGAUUUUCGGCAAUUUGCCGAUUUGCCGGAAUUUUUGAAACUCGGCAAUUUGCCGAUUUGCCAGAAUUUUUGAUUUUCGCAAAUCGGCAAUUUGCCGGAAAUUCUCAAUUCUGGCAACUUGUCGAAUUGCCGAUUUGCCAGAAAAAAUCGUUUGCCCCACCCCUGUGAUACGCCCACCAAUGGCCGGAAAAAAGGGGAACUCGGCCAUGACCAAAAAAUUGGUGACCGAGUUUUAUAAAUUUUUGAUUUUUAUAUAUAAAAUCUGAAUUUUUAUAUAUAAAACCCCAUUUUCAACCGCUUUGUUUGUUGAAAAAUCGCACCUCUAUAUAAUUAUGGUGGCCGAGUUUUCUCAAUUUUCACGGCCACGUAGUAAAAAUUUUUUUUCAGGAAACCCGAAAAACGACCGGAGUCUUCUACGCCAUCGGUAUUUUCGAAAAAGAACAAGACAAUUCAACUUGACGAUCACGACAGCUUCGAUGACUUUGAUUUUGGCAUUUAAUUUGUACAAUACCUAUAUUAUUUAUUUAUUUUUCCCUCAUUUUCCCCCAUUUCAACCCAAAAUUUAUUUCAUGAAUCAAAUCUUCUUUUUUCAUUGAUUGCUUCACACUAUGUUCCUUAUUGAAAACGGUCCAGAAGCCCCAUUUAUCGUAUUUUUAGGCCAAAAAUUGCAGAAUUCUCAGUAAAUUUUCAGAUGGAAGAGCAGGAGCCGACGGAGCCGACGGCAAUUAAUGAGGAGACUCGAGCAAUGGAAGAAGUGAUUAACGCUUUUUUCUAUUAUGGAAGAUAUGGAGCCGAGAAAAUGGUUUCGAUGGUCGAGCAGAUGAGGUGUUUAAUUUUUUUCAAAAAAUUUGAAUAUCCGACAAAAAAUUUCACAGUAAAAUUUGAAUUUCCCCCGAAUUUUUUUCAAACAAUUUGACAGUAAAAUUUGAAUUUACCCGAAUUUUUUUCAAAACAUUUGAAUUCCCGCCAAAAAAUUUCACAGAAAAUUGAAAAUUGGAAGUACAUUUUUGACAUAACCGGAAAUUUGAAAAUUUGAAAAAAAAAAUUUUUUUUCGAAAAAGUGUACCCUUUGAAAGAAAAACCCCCCGAAGAAAAUCGAUAAUUUUCAGAUUUUUCAGAAAAAUUCCAAAUGAUCAUCAAUUAUUGCUCGGCGGACAAUUCAAGGAGCACAUACGUAAUAUGAAGGAAAAAGUGGAGCACAAUAGCCAGUAUAGAAUAGAGAGCUUUUUCAAUUUUUUAAUUGAAAAUUUUCCAGAAUCCUGAGAAUGAUUGCGAAUAGCUGUGCGGGAAUGUUCGGAGAGGAUCAUUUGAGAGCUAUGAGAAUUCAUCAGACAAGGUUCUCGAGAAGUUUGAGCUUUUUUUGGAAAAAAUUCGGGAAAAAAUUGGAAAAGUUGAAAAAAAAAGAGAAAAAAACAUGGAAAUUAUUGCAAAAAACAGAGAAAAAAUAAUGUCUUUUCUUAGAUUUUUUUUUUUGGAAAAUCCUGAAAAAAAGUGAAAUUUUGAAAAAAAUUUACUUUUUUUCAGAUUUUCUGAAAAAAAAACAUUAUAAAAAGAAAAUUGUAAGUAAAAUUAAAAUUUUUGAAAAAAAAGUACAAUUCUGAAAAAAGACAAAAUUAGGACUUUUAGAAAAAAAAUUAAAUAAAUUUGAAAAAAAAAAAAUUAAUUUUUGAAAACAAUUAUAUAUAUUUUUUCAGGUUUUCAGAGAAUUUGUCCUUAGAACUUCCAUUUUUCUGGAAAAAUUGGAAAUUCUGAAAAACAAUUCUAUAAAAAAUUUUAUAAUUGUUAAAACUAAAAAAAAAAAGUUUUGGAGAAUUAAAAAAAAAUUGAUAAAAUAAAAAUAAAAAACUGACAAAUUUUUAUAAUUUCAGUCGAAAUUUCGAAAAGGAUAAAAAAUUGAGAAAUAUUGGAAAUUUUUGAAAAAAAAAACCCCAUCAAAAACUAUGUUAAAGUGGCAAAAAUGACAAUUUAUGGCAAAAAAUCACAAUGUUGAAACUCCUCUAAAAUGGUUAAUUUUAUAGUUAGAGGUCUCAAAAAUGAUCUACAAACACUAAAAAAUUGCCCUUUUUCAAUUUCCAGUAGUUUCGAACGUUUUCAGAAAAAUAUUUUUUUUUGCCCAAAAAAAAGGACAGUCGAUGGCUGAAAAAUCAAAACGGGCAAAAAUAAAAAGUUGUCUAAUUUUGUUGAAAACGGGUAAUUCAUAUAUGCAAUCUAAACUUUAGGAUAGGAAAAAUAGAAAAUUCUAAGAAAACCUUUUCAAAUAUGGAAAUUAUUUUUUGGAAAUUAUUGGAAAAAUUUUAAAUUUUGAAAAAAAAAACAAAUUUUUUUCUAAAUUUCAGACGCCCAUCAUCAGACUUCAUGUCAAAAGUGUUCAGCACAAUGCGUCAAAUCUGUCGUGAAUGGUCUUCAGAAGGCCAACCGGAACGUGAAGCCACAUUCAAGCCAAUCAUCGAUCAGCUCACCGAGCUUUACCCACCGGAGACCCACCCCCGUCACAAUGUUCGGAUUCUUGUUCCGGGCUGUGGUCUGGGUCGGUUGGCUUAUGAUUUGAUGGAACAGGGAUUUACGGUUCAGGGAAAUGAAUUCGCAUUUUUCAUGCUGUUCACAUCAUUUUUUAUUAUCAAUAAUUGCAAACAG
rnacentral:sRNA from 1 species